AAUUUGAUUUCCAUAUUUUGAUAAGUUAAGUUCUCUUUGUUGAUUUUUCGCGGUUAAGUGCGUGGAUUUAAUAACACAUCCAUGCUUAACCUAGGUUAUCAGGAGGGUAAACCAGUCGAUGAUUCGACCAAUCAGAAGUUACGUGGAGUGGACGCUGGCUGGCGUGUGUCGUCAGUGGUCGUGACGUCAGUCGUCACUGAACGUGAGUGGAGUGGAGUGGAGAGUGCAGCGGCUGCCAAACAAAGUCGGAAAAAAGGAGUUUAAAUAGCAAGAAAGCCUAUGUUUGAGUGGUCGCUUUGUCGUUUAGGUUUGUUAGAACUGUGAGGAACUUCACUGCUGAAGAAAUUUAGAUGCUAAGACAAGCUUUGGAGCUGUUUUCGCCGAAUACGAGUGAGGCUGGACGCUGAACACACCUGCAGCGAAGGUGUUUACCUGUUGAGCUGCUGCAGCCUGGAGGGAAACACCAGCUCUCACCUCACAGACCAAACAGGUGUCACCACUUCAUCCAUGAGUCCAGAGUUCAGGACCAGGACAGAGUCCUCCAGGUGAACUCACAGAAACCACUGGAUCCACUCGAGG